rnacentral:rRNA from 1 species
CCCUUAGAUGUUCUGGGCUGCACGCGCGCUACACUGAAGCGUUCAACGAGUAUUUCACCUUGCCCGGGAGGGUUGGGUAAUCUUUUUAAAACGCUUCGUGAUGGGGAUAGAUUAUUGCAAUUAUUAAUCUUCAACGAGGAAUUCCUAGUAAACGCAAGUCAUCAGCUUGCAUUGAUUACGUCCCUGCCCUUUGUACACACCGCCCGUCGCACCUACCGAUUGAAUGGUCCGGUGAAAUCUCGGGACGGCGGCUUGGUCGCUUGCGUCCGACUGCUGAAACUUGAUUAAACCAUAUCAUUUAGAGGAAGGUGAAGUCGUAACA